UCCGCCAUCGGCCGAAGAGCGAUAAAACACCUCGUUGCCAAUGCGAUUUUAAAUAGGCAUGCCAGCUUCGGUAAGUUUAUGACGAUACGCUUAAGUUUUGCCAACACAAUGCCCGAGAUGGCUCCCGGAUAACGGUAAGAUGUCGUAAAAACACCAAAAGUAAGCAUUUCAAGCGCCAUGAGACUUAGAUUGAUUUUUAUAUUUUAUACUGUAGUACAUAGUCUAUGUAAAACAAUAAUAGCUGUGGCAAGUAAAGUAGGCCAGACUUUAAAGGAGGCUGUCCAGAGAAUGUCUUUUGCGUUAUUCACUAAUAACCUCUGCUGUAAACUUAACUGGUCUGGUAUUACUAUAAAUGACAAUGAAAGUAACUUUGUAAAACAAAGACUUACACUUGCUUAAAAGAGCUGUAAAAAGAAAUCCUGCAACAACUUCAGCAACUGAAUCAGAUUUUCAAUAUGAGGUUGUGCGUUUAUUGCGUGGUGCAUCAGACCGCAAUGGCGGAAAAAAAGUUAGACAAGACCAAAAAAACAAACAAGCCAAGAAAAAAGUGAUGCCUACAUCAAGUUUUCCAAUGCCAUUAAAUAAAGAGGGAUUUUUUAGUUCAGAUGAAUAAUAUUGUUAAAU
rnacentral:lncRNA from 1 species